rnacentral:lncRNA from 1 species
CGCCAUGCCUGACUGGUUUUCGUAUUUUUUUGGUGGAGACGGGGUUUCGCUGUGUUGGCCGGGCUGGUCUCCAGCUCCUAACCGCCAGUGAUCCACCAGCCUCGGCCUCCUGAGGUGCCGGGAUUGCAGACGGAGUCUCGUUCAGUCAGUGCUCAAUGGUGCCCAGGCUGGAGUGCAGUGGCGUGAUCUCGGCUCGCUACAACCUCCACCUCCCAGCUGCCUGCCUUGGCCUCCCAAAGUGCCAAGAUUGCAGCCUCUGCCCAGCCGCCGCCCGGUCUGGGAAGUGAGGAGCGUCUCUGCCUGGCCACCCAUCGUCUGGGAUGUGAGGAGCCUCUCUGCCUGGCUGCCCGGUCUGGAAAGUGAGGAGCAUCUCUGCCCGGCCGCCAUCCCAUCUAGGAAGUGAGGAGCGCCUCUUCCCGGCCGCCAUCCCAUCUAGGAAGUGAGGAGCGUCUCUGCCCGGCCGCCCAUCGUCUGAGAUGUGGGGAGCGCCUCUGCCCCGCGGCCCCGUCUGGGAUGUGAGGACCACCUCUGCCCCGCCGCGACCCCGUCUGGGAGGUGAGGAGCGUCUCUGCCCGGCCGCCCCGUCUGAGAAGUGAGGAGACCCUCUGCCCGGCAGCCACCCCGUCUUUGCCAAAUCUGGAUUGAUUCUGACAUGCAACCAGAAUGGCCCUGUUGCAAUGACCCAGACAUUAAAGACUACAACAUUCCAAAGCAAGAACAUAUAUAGAGUAAAUUAAAAAGUGACUACACUGCCCAGUGAAAGGCACAGGCUCAGAAAACCCCUUGGAAGACUAGGUCCCACUUGCAGAACUAUAGCCACAAUAGGCCCCACCACCUGAUGAAAUUUACAACAAUCUACCUUCACUCUCUAAGCAGAAUGGAUCCUGUACCAGGCAAACAGGAAGAAAAGAGAGGGAUUCUAAUUAAAUCAAUUGAAGCUUUUCUAUUUCGCAAGACUCUGCCAGAAGAUGUGUGUAGCUGAAGAAUUUUAAGUGGAAAGAGGCAACCUCCCAUAAAUCUUCCUUUAGUAUAUUCAUAUCUGACCCAUGUUAGACAAUUAGGUCCCUCAUGGGAUAUGAACAGAAAGGAGGUGGGAAACAGGGUGGGAAAGAGGCUGGAUGCUGCUGUCUUUUUCUUUUGUCUUCAGAAAAAAUCAUGGCCCCAAGGGAUCAGACUUAAUCUCCUUUUAUGGAGAAGGUAUAGAGAACAAGGGCAAAAGGAUGAAAGAAAGAAAGCUAGAAGGGAAAGGAAUAGCUUGGAUUAUUUAAAAUCUUCAUAGUGGGUUCAUAAUUGGUAUUUAUUUAUUAUUUCCUUGCUUCAGGGAAUUCAAUGGGCAGAAUCCCACAUACAAAACAGACACAAGGCUAUCCUUGCUCUUUAAGGGAUUUAAGACAGGACUGCCUUAAAGACAGAAGCUGCAUUAAUGUAUUUAAAAGAGAUUGGUUUGCAAUCUACUUCUGAAGAUUCCUCCUUUAAUUAUUUAUUAUUAUUUUUGCAUGUUUCUCUGUCUCUUUUUUUGUUUUUGUUUUUGUUUUUGUUUUUGUUUUUGAGAUGGAGUCUCUCUCUGUCACCCAGGCUGGAGUGCAGUGGCAUGAUCUCAGCUCACUGCAACCUCUGCCUCCCGGGUUUAAGCGAUUCUCCUGCCUCAGCCUCCCGAGUAGCUGGGAUUACAGGUGCCUGCCACCACACCUGGCUAAUUUUGUAUUUUUAGUAGAGAGGGGGUUUCACCAUGUUGGCCAGGCUGGUCUCAAGCUGCUGACCUCAAGUGAUCCGCCUCAGCCUCCCAAAGUGCUGGGAUUACAGGCGUGAGCCACUGCGCCUGGCUUCUCUUUUUCUUAAUAAUAACUAGAGCCUCUGGAAUCUCUGUGAAAUCUCGUAUCUUUAUCUUCUCAAAUUUUUGAAUGAGCAAUGGUGGUGAGAUUGAGGAAAUCAUAAUACCAGCAUUGGAAAAGAUUUUGAAGAAGAAUAGAAGGCUCACCAAUAACAUGUUAGUGCCUAAUGAAGGGUUUAUUCCAUCUGAUUUACAGAAUAGACCAGACAAGACAAUCAUUUCAGAGCCUUUUACCUGUGUCAGGGUAUGACAGCCACAGCCCUUGUUUUAAAGAUCACCUUUGUCUAAUCCCCAUUACCUGGACUUACAAAUUUCCCCCCUUAAUGUUUUACAGGUUUACCUAUGUAUAAAUGUGAGAUAUGUUUAAAUAAAAUGUUAAUACAUGUUUAAAUAAAAAUUCCUGUUUAAAUGAAAAUGCACUUUAUACAUAUUUAAAUGAAAAUAAUUUAAGCCUGCAGAUGGAUUAAUAUUUUUCUGAGUCAAUGCUCUUUACAAGGUGGUUCAAUUUUUCCAUCAGUUCCUUUAUAACUCUGUUACUUUCAAUUGCAAAAUGUAGUAAUUUGGCUUAACUACAGGCCUGGUGUGCUACAUCUUCCUCUGAGUUGAAUACCUUCCAUCUCUGCUUGGCUUCCUGUUAAAUAUUUAUUAUUGAACAAUGUUGGGAAUUAGGGGAGAUUUUGCAUCCAACUAAGACACAAAUAUUCCAUGCUAAGACCCUCCCUUCAAUUGAACCUUCAGAUUCUGUCCUUGCAAUGCCUGAGUAAAGAACGUGAAAGAACAGCAGAGAUCUCCUGAUUAGGCCAGACUGUGUUUCCAAUGUCAUUACAUUAAAAAAUAAAUAAUAAAACUGGUGAGAAAGAAUCA